AGAGUUUGAUCAUGGCUCAGAGCGAACGCUGGCGGCAGGCUUAACACAUGCAAGUCGAGCGGGCGUAGCAAUACGUCAGCGGCAGACGGGUGAGUAACGCGUGGGAACGUACCUUUUGGUUCGGAACAACACAGGGAAACUUGUGCUAAUACCGAAUAAGCCCUUACGGGGAAAGAUUUAUCGCCGAAAGAUCGGCCCGCGUCUGAUUAGCUAGUUGGUGAGGUAAUGGCUCACCAAGGCGACGAUCAGUAGCUGGUCUGAGAGGAUGAUCAGCCACAUUGGGACUGAGACACGGCCCAAACUCCUACGGGAGGCAGCAGUGGGGAAUAUUGGACAAUGGGCGCAAGCCUGAUCCAGCCAUGCCGCGUGAGUGAUGAAGGCCCUAGGGUUGUAAAGCUCUUUUGUGCGGGAAGAUAAUGACGGUACCGCAAGAAUAGCCC
rnacentral:rRNA from 1 species